GCUUAUCCAGAGUGGUGGAGGGAAAUCGGCCCUACGAAGCCCGGCAACCAGUCCGACUAAUAGACCAGGUGCCAACUCCGGCGAAGAACUGAUAAUCGCAAGAUAAGA
rnacentral:ncRNA from 1 species